rnacentral:lncRNA from 1 species
AACCUCUCCCUGCCGGAAUUCCGACCGCCCGUCCGCCGCCGUCAGGUCGCCCCAGACCGCCGCACCGGUCCCAAUCGAUCGGUCUCCAACCCAGCUAUCUUCCAGGACCGGUGACAGCCCCCCUAGCGCCGCCGUGAGAGAGCGGUGCCGCCCGAAAGGCUAGGCUGCCCCGAACUUCCGGCCGCCGAAACUCCCUCCUCCGGCCACCAAUCCGGGCAAGCUUGGUACGGUUUUGUAGCCCUCCUCCCGUGCAGCAACCCCUCCAAUCAGCUCACUCCCUCUUGAGCUAGGUAAGAAGAAAUGUGGAGUUGAAAUUUCUAGGGCUUUUAGGAUGUUUUUGUUCGAUUAGCCUAGUUAGGCUUGGAAUUGGGUGAUGUGUUGGUCAGGAAAGUUGUAGAGCAUGAUGAGGAGAUUAUUCUGUCAAAAUUUCAUAGGUUUUGGAGGUCACUGGAAUUGGCCUCCGGCCGCCGCUGCCGGCGGAGCCGCCGGUUAAGAGAUUUUUAGGGUUUUAAGUGUGGAAUAUUAAGGGGAGUAUAUUGAUGUGAUUUAUGGAAUUUUUGGAUGAGAUUUGGAUAGGUUUGUGAAUUUCCGAAGUUUGGUAUUUUUGGCGGUUAAUUAAUGUAGAAUCCGGCCGUAGGAUUUAAGUCGUAUUUUGGGGAGGUUGUAUUUACGACUGUUGAGUAUGAUAUAUAAGUUCGGAUCGUUCCGAUUUAAGAAUAUCGAAGUUAGGCGAGAAUGAGCGUGGUUACGGCUCAUAAUUAUUUUGCCUAUUUUUGAGUACGUUCUGGAUUUUCGGUUGAGAAAUUAAUUUUAUAUUUGGAACAGGACGUGAGGAGGCUCGAGCAGACGAGGCCCCAGAUCGACAUCAGGCUUAGGCCUAAUUUGUGAGUGGACGUUCAUUUUAAAUAAAUGCAUGCUAUAGUUCAUGGUUGAACAAUUAAUGUUGCGGAAUAUUUUAACGUCAUUUUAAUUUGACGAUUUUUAUUUCUCUUGGAGAGUUACCGAAAAUGGGAUUUUCGGUGGAUAUAAAUAUGUAUUUAUG